GACGUAGGGCGCGAGCGUUGUCCGGAUUUAUUGGGCGUAAAGAGCUCGUAGGCGGCUUGUCGCGUCGUUCGUGAAAAACCUGCAGCUCAACUGCAGGCUUGCGGUCGAUACGGGCAGGCUAGAGUUCGGUAGGGGAGACUGGAAUUCCUGGUGUGAGCGGUGAAAUGCGCAGAUAUCAGGAGGAACACCGGUGGCGAAGGCGG
rnacentral:rRNA from 1 species